GUGUCAGUGUCUCUUUGAUUUUCUCUCUACCUUUCAAUGAGCUUGGGUCUUUAAUUCUGACAUGCAUAUUAGUAAUACAUAGGUACAAUGUAUAAUUCAGGGAACCAGGAAAAGGUGAAUCAUAUUUUGCUUCAUUCAGCUUAAAAACAUUGAAUUAAUAUAAUUGGAGAAAUCUGUUUUUCCCUAGGUCCAGUUUGCAAAGUAUUGGGCUGUAAAGCAUGGGAAGUAUACAAACACCUUUCCUGCUUGUGCAUUCUUCAGAAUGAUACCCUUGUAACCUGCGGAAAAAAACUUGAUGUUACAAAAAUUGCUUCUGCACCUGGAUGAAGAAAAGUAAUUUCCUGCCAGAAGAAAAGAGGAGAAACAUACAAGCGGGAUCUUAGACUGGGGGCACUGGACCUGGAAAUGACCUUGGAUUUCAUCUAAUCCCAUACCUUCAUUCUAUAAUCAAGAAAACUGAGGCCCAAUACCACAUCUUCAGUCAUUUAUCUAAGGUCACAUAGGUAUAAAGAUCACAAGCAGAAUUUGAUACCAGAUUCUCUGACUCUAGAGUCCAACUGCACUUUCCAUUGUACCAGAAACAAUAAAAUUACAGUGACACAGAGUCUCUGAGACUGC
rnacentral:lncRNA from 1 species